GUGUCGGCGCGGGGGUUUCUGUCGCUUCCUCCCGCUUCAUCGGCCUCCGAAGCGGAGCGACGUCAGGAGGCCGAACGAGAC
rnacentral:sRNA from 12 species